CGCCGGAGGCGGCUUACGGAGAGGCUGCCGAGAUCUUGGGGUUGCUCUGCGCUCCACCUUUCGGGGCGCUGGUUUCGGGUACCUUUGGGUCCCAAGGCCAUAACCCCCAAAGGGGUGGUAGCCAUUAUUUCUUUCUCGCAGACAUCAACUCUCUCAAACUAGUCUCUUCUAAGGCUCCUUCCUUUGGUGGGCCCUGGAAGAUACCGACCUCGCUGUGAGGCCUCAAAAAAGCAAAACAAGAAAAACGCAACAAACUUGAGAAAAAGAUUAGUUUUGGAGGCUGCCAAACAUGGCUUAGUUUUUAAAAAUAUGAACUCUAAAAAAAUAUAAAGCUACAAGGAAUGAUAAAGCUUAACAGCAGUGUAAGUCAACAAGGUCGAGUUCUUCACUCUGAACAGUAAAACCAGGAAAUGAGAGGAAGCUAAAAAAGCAAGCUGGACACAAUGCUGAAAACUGUCUGGUUAAGUCACUGGCUCCGUAGCCAAGAAGCUAUCCUGAGAACAAGCCUUUUGCUUAGAUUUCAAGGUCUGCCUUCUGGAUCAGAGAGACUAGACAAGAAAUGAUGACUGUAUUGGCCCAAAUCUACAACUGCAACUUGAAAAACGCCUCAAAGAACAUUCUGUGCUCACAGUGGGCUUGGACCAUUGUUUUAACAUGUGAAGAAUGAAACUGUCUACAUUAUCACUAUAACUUCUUCCUCACCUUGCCUCUGUCUGCUACAAAUCAUUAGACUAAAGAUCUUUUCUCUCUUUUGCCCAUAUCAGCCUUCUCAUGACUUUGUCUAAGGGUCACACUCAGGACAGCCUUGUGUGGAAGAGGUCUCUGAGGUUGUAUGAUUUAAAUGCCACUGCCAAAAUAACCCCAAAGAGUCAUCCAUGUGCUGGACACUGGGCCUAUAUUAGGUCUUAGGGAGCUCUUAUUUUAUAUUAACUAUUUGACUACCCAAUUACAUGACAUUUGGUUGGCUUUUUCUUAUUGGUGACAUUUGACUCUUUUAGAGAAAACUUGGCUUAAGGAAAUGCUAGUAGGCUUUGUUUAAAGCAUUUAUUGUAAACUUUUUUUUUCUCAGUUCUUUGAUUUCCUCAUAUUUCAUCACCGAGAUAAUCGUCUAUCAGAUGACCAUUCCUAAUAGAUGCUCCUUACUCCUAGAAGUCAUCAUCUCAUGAGUAUGAGCUCACUGCUUGGGAAAUGACUCAUAAUCUAACAUAGGGUGGUUAAUAUCAUUGUGCUUAAAAAUUGGGGUGCCAUUUUAUUCACUUCAUAAACAUUUGGGGACUUACUUGGUGGCACAGUGGUUAAGAAUCCACCUGCCAAUGCAGGGGACAUGGGGUUGAGCCCUGGUCUGGGAAGAUCCCACCUGCCGCAGAGCAACUAAGCCCGCGAGCCAAAACUACUGAGCCCAUGUGCCACAUCUACCAAAGCCCGUGCGCCUAGAGCCUGUGCUCCGCAAUAAGAGAAACCACUGCAGUGAGAAGCCCACACACUGCAACGAAGAGUAGCCCCUGCUUGCCACAACUAGAGGAAGCCUGCAUGCAGCAACGAAGACCCAGUACAGCCAAAAAUAAAUAAAUAAAUAAAUAAAUAAAUAAAUAAAAUAAAAUAAAUAAA